AUUGAACGCUGGCGGAAUGCUUUACACAUGCAAGUCGAGCGGCAGCGCGGGGCAACCUGGCGGCGAGCGGCGAACGGGUGAGUAAUACAUCGGAACGUACCCAGUUGUGGGGGAUAGCCCGGCGAAAGCCGGAUUAAUACCGCAUACGACCUGAGGGUGAAAGGGGGGGAUCGCAAGACCUCUCGCAGUUGGAGCGGCCGAUGGCGGAUUAGCUAGUUGGUGGGGUAAAGGCUUACCAAGGCGACGAUCCGUAGCGGGUCUGAGAGGACGACCCGCCACACUGGAACUGAGACACGGUCCAGACUCCUACGGGAGGCAGCAGUGGGGAAUUUUGGACAAUGGGGGAAGCCCUGAUCCAGCCAUGCCGCGUGCGGGAAGAAGGCCUUCGGGUUGUAAACCGCUUUUGGCAGGAACGAAACGGCGCGAGCUAACACCCCGUGCUAAUGACGGUACCUGCAGAAUAAGCACCGGCUAACUACGUGCCAGCAGCCGCGGUAAUAC
rnacentral:rRNA from 1 species